CCAGACUCCUACGGGAGGCAGCAGUGGGGAAUAUUGGGCAAUGGGCGCAAGCCUGACCCAGCAACGCCGCGUGAAGGAAGAAGGCUUUCGGGUUGUAAACUUCUUUUCUCAGGGACGAAGAAAGUGACGGUACCUGAGGAAUAAGCCACGGCUAACUACGUGCCAGCAGCCGCGGUAAUACGUAGGUGGCAAGCGUUAUCCGGAUUUACUGGGUGUAAAGGGCGUGUAGGCGGGAGUGCAAGUCAGAUGUGAAAACCACGGGCUCAACCUGUGGCCUGCAUUUGAAACUGUACUUCUUGAGUACUGGAGGGGCAGACGGAAUUCCUAGUGUAGCGGUGAAAUGCGUAGAUAUUAGGAGGAACACCAGUGGCGAAGGCGGCCUGCUGGGCUUUAACUGACGCUGAGGCUCGAAAGCGUGGGGAGCAAACAGGAUUAGAUACCCCUGUAAAU
rnacentral:rRNA from 1 species